AAUAGUUAAAACAAUGACAUAUUUACUACACAACAAAACAUAAGAGGAUUAAAAGCUAAAGAAUAACAGUAAAAACUGAGCGACUAAGAAGCUAAAAAAUAUGCAUUUUAUGUCUCUUUAGCUUCUUCGGGGUAGGGGGCAGUAUUCGAACGUUUGGAUGAAUGAGGUGAAACUGCCUGUUACUCAGGCCCAGAAGCUAGGAUAUGCAUAUGCAUGAGGUGCCCAAUGUAAACUGCCUGUUACUCAGGCCCAGAAGCUAGGAUAUGCAUAUGCAUGAGGUGCCCAAUGUAAACUGCCUGUUACUCAGGCCCAGAAGCUAGGAUAUGCAUAUGCAUGAGGUGCCCAAUGUAAACUGCCUGUUACUCAGGCCCAGAAGCUAGGAUAUGCAUAUGCAUGAGGUGCCCAAUGUAAACUGCCUGUUACUCAGGCCCAGAAGCUAGGAUAUGCAUAUGCAUGAGGUGCCCAAUGUAAACUGCCUGUUACUCAGGCCCAGAAGCUAGGAUAUGCAUAUGCAUGAGGUGCCCAAUGUAAACUGCCUGUUACUCAGGCCCAGAAGCUAGGAUAUGCAUAUGCAUGAGGUGCCCAAUGUAAACUGCCUGUUACUCAGGCCCAGAAGCUAGGAUAUGCAUAUGCAUGAGGUGCCCAAUGUAAACUGCCUGUUACUCAGGCCCAGAAGCUAGGAUAUGCAUAUGCAUGAGGUGCCCAAUGUAAACUGCCUGUUACUCAGGCCCAGAAGCUAGGAUAUGCAUAUGCAUGAGGUGCCCAAUGUAAACUGCCUGUUACUCAGGCCCAGAAGCUAGGAUAUGCAUAUGCAUGAGGUGCCCAAUGUAAACUGCCUGUUACUCAGGCCCAGAAGCUAGGAUAUGCAUAUGCAUGAGGUGCCCAAUGUAAACUGCCUGUUACUCAGGCCCAGAAGCUAGGAUAUGCAUAUGCAUGAGGUGCCCAAUGUAAACUGCCUGUUACUCAGGCCCAGAAGCUAGGAUAUGCAUAUGCAUGAGGUGCCCAAUGUAAACUGCCUGUUACUCAGGCCCAGAAGCUAGGAUAUGCAUAUGCAUGAGGUGCCCAAUGUAAACUGCCUGUUACUCAGGCCCAGAAGCUAGGAUAUGCAUAUGCAUGAGGUGCCCAAUGUAAACUGCCUGUUACUCAGGCCCAGAAGCUAGGAUAUGCAUAUGCAUGAGGUGCCCAAUGUAAACUGCCUGUUACUCAGGCCCAGA